rnacentral:rRNA from 1 species
GAUGAACGCUGGCGGCGUGCCUAAUACAUGCAAGUCGAGCGAACGGACGCGACGCUUGCUUCUCUGAUGUUAGCGGCGGACGGGUGAGUAACACGUGGAUAACCUACCUAUCAGACUGGGAUAACUUCGGGAAACCGGCGCUAAUCCCGGAUAAUAUUCUGCACCGUAUGGUUCAAAAGUGAAAGACGGUCUUGCUGUCACUUAUAGAUGGAUCUGGGCUGCAUUAGCUAGUUGGUAAGGUAACGGCUUACCACGGCAACGAUGCGUAGCCGACCUGAGAGAGGGGUCGGCCACCUGGGAGCGUGAACGCGGUCAAGGGGCCUGAGAGAGGGCGCAGUAGGGUAUCGGCGGCAGUAGGCGGGAGCCUGGCGGAAUAACGCGAAGUGAGAUGUGAAGAUCUUGGGUGCGUAAAACUGGGUUAUGGGGUAAAAACAGAUUUGGAAGUAACUGUACACAGAGUGACGGUAAUGAGUCAGGAAGCCACGGCUAACUACGUG